rnacentral:rRNA from 1 species
AGUGAACGCUGGCGGCGUGCCUAAUACAUGCAAGUCGAACGAAGUGGCGCACGGGUGAGUAAUAUAUAGUUAAUCUCCCCUGCACAGAGGAACAACAGUUGGGAACGACUGCUACUACCUCAUAGUGUAGGAUGAGACUAUAUCGUAUCAGCUAGUUGGUAAGGUAAUGGCUUACCAAGGCUAUGACGCGUAACUGGUGUGAGAGGAUAAUCAGUAAAAUUGGAACGGAGACACGGGCCGAACUUCUCCGGGAAGGAGCAGGAAGGAAAAGUGCGCAAUGGGGGAAAACCUGACGCAGCAACGCCGCGUGGAGGAUGACACUUUUCGGAGGCUAAACUCCUUUUAUCAGGAAAGCGGUACCUGCUGAAUAAGCACCGGCUAACUCCGUGCCAGCCGCCGCGGUAAUAC